UACAGAGGGGGCAAGCGUUAUUCGGAAUUAUUGGGCGUAAAGGGCGCGUAGGCGGCUUUUCAAGUGACGGGUGAAAUCCCUCGGCUUAACCGAGGAACUGCCUGUCAGACUGGAAGGCUUGAGACCGGGAGAGGUGAGUGGAAUUCCCAGUGUAGCGGUGAAAUGCGUAGAUAUUGGGAGGAACAUCAGUGGCGAAAGCGACUUCCUGGACCAGAACUGACGAUCAGGCACGAAAGCGUGGGGAGCAAACAGG
rnacentral:rRNA from 1 species